GACGAACGCUGGCGGCGUGCCUAAUACAUGCAAGUUGAGCGCUGAAGGUUGGUACUUGUACCGACUGGAUGAGCAGCGAACGGGUGAGUAACGCGUGGGGAAUCUGCCUUUGAGCGGGGGACAACAUUUGGAAACGAAUGCUAAUACCGCAUAAAAACUUUAAACACAAGUUUUAAGUUUGAAAGAUGCAAUUGCAUCACUCAAAGAUGAUCCCGCGUUGUAUUAGCUAGUUGGUGAGGUAAAGGCUCACCAAGGCGAUGAGACAGAGCCGACCUGAGAGGGGGGUCGGCCGCAGUGGGACUGGGACACGGCCCAGACUCCUACGGGAGGCAGCAGUAGGGAAGCUUCGGCAAUGGACGAAAGGCUGACCGAGCAACGCCGCGUGAGGGAAGAAGGGUGUCGGAUCGUAAAACUCUGUUGGUAGAGAAGAACGUUGGUGAGAGUGGAAAGCUCAUCAAGUGACGGUAACUACCCAGAAAGGGACGGCUAACUACGUG
rnacentral:rRNA from 1 species